rnacentral:lncRNA from 1 species
UGAUAUGUUCACGUUUUUUUUUUUUUUUCUUCCUCUCUCUAUGUUUUGAGCUAAACCAAAUCAAACGAAGACUUGUGUUCUGCUCAAUUGUGGUUGGUUACAUUAAUCUUUUUUCUCAAUUCCUAUAUAUCUCUCGGUUAAUUUUAGUCAAUGCAUAUCCUUUUUCUUGAUACCAUCCCAUCCCAAUUUCGGUCAAACCAAUUAAGAAAAGAUGCCAAGUAUAUUCAUGGAACUUGAAAUUAUACAUGAAAACAUUUUUUCUUUGUUGUUUGUCUUGGUGUGUUAUCUAUUGGUGAAUUACAUCGUUUAAACUUGACCAAUCGCGUGGAAAGGAGUUCUCUCCGCAAAAAUCCGAACACAAUGUAUAUUGUGUUCUUUUGCCUAUAUUGGGGAUUCAGAUGCACUUUCCAAAAUGAGAAAGAAAAGCUUGAGCAUGGAGGGAAAAAUCAACCCUUGUCCUAGUGAGGUAUAGGAGCCAUAGCAAAAACUUAGCGGGUAGCAAUUAAGUGGGUAAAUUACGCUAGCAGAUUCUGAGGUUGGCAAACGCUUUAUUUAGUCUGUAUUUGAGUUUGAACAUGGCUCUUCUGAAUUUUAUAUCAUUUAGAAAACUAACACACAAUAAACAUGCUAAGAUUGUGCCUUGAGGGCAUCAAAAGUACCUUCACCACAUAAUCCUCCACUGAAUAUGGGUUAUCCUUCUUUAGUUGGAUAAAACCAUGGUAAACCGAUUCAUUAAUGGAGAAAACAAGGGGCUUGUCUCAUAGUCACUCAAAACCUCUACAAUGCAUAUACAAAAAACACUUCCAAGGAAGAACUUUUUUAGAAUCUUAGCCAAGAAUGUCUACUUGUUGCCCAAAAGGGGGGUAAUUCCAUUCAUUUUUUUCUCCUCUAUUUUUUUCUCUGACACAAUACAUGUCUUCACGCCCCUGCAUAACAACCAUAAAAUAUCCUUUAUAUGAAAUGAAUCUUAGUUCAGGAUUCUUGAUGACUGCGAUUAACUUUGGAUGUAAAAACGCUUCCAAGUUUUCACGCGAACCAACUUUAAAGCUUCAAAUAUGCAAAUCCUCUCCGUAAUCAAUACUGAUAUUCAGGACCUAUGCUAUUAUUGUUAUAGUGUCACUCUCAUCACAGAUUCUAUGAAAUAUAAAAUUGUUGAACUAGAGCCACACGAUAUCGUUUUAAUUGGAAGCUUUGAUUUGGGAAUAUCAUACUUUUUUUCAGCUCUGUUGCAUUUCCUCUGUAGGUGGCUGUGUGUACGGACAGCUACAAUGAUCCAUAUCUUUCAUCUUCCCGAGGAAAUGGAAAUAAGCAUGUCUCCAACGGGUUCUUGAUUAUCAAUGUUCCACAGAUCCCCAAAACCCCCACAUGAAUCCCAUUCCUACGCUGAUGGAGAACCUCGCUUUUCAAACUUACCUCAAUCAUCUGUUGUCUUCUUCAUCUCUCCAGGGGCUGGGCCCACCGAGUCAGUACACUUGGUUUACAGUGGAGACCAACAACGUGCGAGGUCCCUCGUAAAUUGACGGGAUCAUUGAGGGUCUGGACACUGGUUGCUGUGUGGGGAUUUGACCAGACAAUGGUAUAUGACAGGUUUCAAGUGAUUCAGAAAAGUCAGAGAUGCCAUACAUGGGGAAUAGGACCGGAUAAAGCUCGUUCUGAGAGAGGGUCGAGUGUUUCUAACCUUUAUAAGUUCCAAUCUUCUUGGUAUCUUUCCCGUCAAGGGAUCAUUGAUAAGUUAAGGUACCCAACCUGAAAAAAAAAGGCUGGUAAGUCUUGGGAAGUCUCCAGAAAUAUGACAGAGGAGAUCGAGAAUAUUCACAAGGUAAAGGAUGGGACGCCUGAUAUUCAAGUGUUCUUCCCUUUGAAAACCACUUCAAGUAUCAGUUUCAUAUCGACUCAGUAUCUAACUUAAUCUCAGUUUCAGGGCACUCAGAUUCCCUAACAGGGGGGAAUUUUUCUGACAGCUAUUUUGAGAGAGGGCCAGUAUGUGAAGAGAGAGCGGCUACAUAUUUGUGAAGGAACGAUUCCAGCAAAGGGAAUUAUUCCGAAUACGGCGAAUCCAAGGAUGGCAUUGCUUUCUCCAUCCAAGAUGGAAGGUUUCCGGAUUAGUUGAUUGUCCCAAUAUCAAGGUUCCCAUGUUGUACAAUUCUGCCAGGUGGAAGGGACUUCCCCGGAAAGAUUAUUCUUACUGAGCAUUAAGAAUUUGAGGAAAUUUUGGGAACCUAUUGAGCAUGUAUAGUACAGCAGACGUGUUGACAUAUCAAGGAAAUACAAGUCGGACUAUCCUUCCAAACGUCGGGAAUUAUCCAGGAUAGAGAUUAUUAUAGAUGGCUGAUUUGUCAAUAGAACUGUAGAUUACCUAUGGACAAAAAAGGGAAAUGCUACCAUUUAGAGAGUUCAUAGAAAUAUCUAAGUCUGUCAAAUAGGGCAUUACUUCCCAAUGUCUAGAGGAAUGGGUCCAGAGGACAAGUUAGUCAUCAGAAUAAUGCACUCACAUUGGAAAAGACCCCCCCCCCAAAGUGGGAAGAGACCUCAAAGCGGUCCGAGCUUAGAUCGACUGUGGAGUGGUGUCGAACUCUAAUGAGUUCGGCACUGUCCCGCUAUAAGGUAUUGUAAGCUGAGCUACGUCUAGUUCAUUGAGCUGCAAAUCCAACUUCCAAACCAUAUGCGGGUGAUCUGAAAAUUACGGCAUUGUUGAGCAACCAGCAAGUUUUCAGGUCAUUUUGAUUUCGAAGCCAUGUAGGGAAUCUGGGCCCAACUUGGCAUGAUCUGGUAUUGAUGUACUGAGUUUAAAAAAGGGGAAGCCAAUGAGGCAUCGAUGUCAAAGAAUAAUGAAACAUUUGGUGAUCCUUUUUUCAUUGACAACCAUUAAGCUUGAUUAGAUUUUGCCCAAAAACCCCCCCCCACCAAAAUGAGCUUCAGUUAUGAACCUCACAUGGAUUAUCUGAGAGCUCCAGCACAUCCAAUGAUGACAGCUGCCAGAGACUUGGGGGAUGUGCUACCUCUCAUUCUGAUUUUGAGAGAUGUCCAAUUCCUCCAAAAUAUGAAAUUCUGAUGGAGUUUGGAAUCGACCUUUGAAUGCGUUAGACGGGAAUCGAAGAUGCCGCAAAUCCUAUAGGUCUCCCAAUGAAGUGGGCAGAUUGCUUGCCAGUUGGUUGUAUCCCAGGUCCAGCGUCUCCAACCUGCUAUUAGGGCAUCCAGCCAAACCAUGAUUGACCUGAUCACCAGUGAUUCGUUGACAUUUCGGUCUCAAAAAUCUGCAAUUGCAGAGCUUAAAAUGCUUCCGUAGCCCACCUUGGCGAUUGUUGGAGUUGAAAUCAAGUUGGACAAGGGCAUCAAGAUUAAAACAACCAGUUGGGUAUUGUGGAGUUGAAGCCGGUGUUGAGAGAUCGAGAUCAAGUACGAAAGGGAUGUAAAAUUACUUGUGGAAGAGCGAGCGGUGGGAGGUUGAAAUGCUGACAUUGGGCAAGUGCAAUUCUAACAGAGAAGGAUACAUAUAAUUGUCCCCCGAAGCCAAUAAGGAUGCAGCCUUGCUAAGGUCAACACCUCCAAAUUAAGGACGAGAGAAGAAAGACAGAUAUCCAUUUCAGAUUCAUCGGCACUGACACUCCAACGUUAGAGUUGAGACAAACAGAUCAAGGAAAAACGUGGAAAGGUUUCCGAGAUGGGAGGCCAUGUUCCCAAAAGAUGCACCACCAGAGAGAUUGAGAUAUUCAACUUCGUGAGGGAUGCCAGAAUUCGGGAUUCGGAUCCCUCCAAAGUUAGUUCAUGAUCAAAUCUGAGUAAGUCAAUACUUCAAGUUGAGCCAAAGUAGGAAUGAUCUCACUUCAAGUCCCCCAGCAAUUACAUUGCGGUCAUUAACUAUCAGGAAAUUGAUUUGCGAAGGUUAAGGUUGAUGACAUUUCCAGUUUGUUGUUGCAAUCUCACGCCUAGACCAAAAUUCACCAAACCCCCAGACACAUGUUAUACCCCACCCGACGAAGAGGUGGCCUAAAGGAUGUUAGAGUUUUCAAAAUAUCUGGUGUUAAUGUUUGGGUUUUGUAAAACUUCCUUGUUCCUUUAGGAUUCUCACUUUGGUAUGUGGGCUUUGUCCCACAUUGGCUCUAGAUUAUGGAAAAGUUACCUUCUUUAUAAAUGGAAAGAUUCUUAAAGUAUUAAAUAUUUUUGGAUCGCAAGGGGCUAUGUAUGUGCUUGCAACGUAAACCGGCGAAGCGACGAUGCUCUGCACCAUGAACCACACCAGGCCGCGCGUGUGCGUGGCAGUGGGCUGUGUGGCUGCAAAUGUUGGCGCUUUUGGCGCACGCGCGGGACUAAAGGAUGCGAUGGUUCGAAAAGAUUGCGAUCUCAACCGUUGUCGUAACAGUGUGAUUCCAACGGUAUAAUUUCAAUCCGAAAGUUGGACUAUUCGGAUUGAUCCAACGGUCACACACUUAAGCGAAAUGUUUGGUGAUUGAAAAGUGCGUGGUAGCCUAUAGACUAGUCCACCUCUUAUAACGAUUAUUAUAUCAGACAAAAUCCGAAAUCUUUAGGAGAAGAAAUAAUACUAGUAAAGUCCAUAUCAAUUUUGAGCAGUUAUCUAAAGAUUUUGAUAUUCUGCAACGAAGAAACAAAAUCUUAGAGGUUUCAAAGUUCUCCUUCUUAAGAAAAGCAGAUAUUCUGACUGUUUGUUUGUGCCAAACAAGAAUAGUCAAGCACCUAGAGUUCGCCUGCUUCAUUGUAUCUUGAAAGCCAGAUUUGCUGCUAACCGUUGACACACCACAUAGGUGGGGGCAAAAAAAAUAUGUCUUUAGGAAAAACGACACCACGACUACCAUUAUCGUAUUUUCACCAAAAAGAUCCGUGAAGACUCUUUGAACUUAAGAAGUGCCUUCUUCUCUGUUCAAAGCAACCAGUUGUGAUGACAUUGUUGUAGCAGGAGGGUGAGUUUAAGGAGGUGAGUUAUUAAUGGCUUCAAGGUAAAAAAUUCCGCGACAAGGAGACUGAGGACAGAGAAGUUGAGGGAA